rnacentral:rRNA from 1 species
ACACGUAUGAAAGACAAGCUGAAAGACUUUUCUCAAUGAUGUAAGUGGUGGUGCAUGGUCGUUCGUAGUUCGUGGAUUGAUUUGUCUGGUCUAUUCCGAUAACGAGCGAGACCCCGGCGUUCCUAAUAGGGGCGAUAGCCCGGCUUGCCGCCUAAGAGGCUUGCUAGCUGUCGCUUAAGAUUUACUUCUUAGACGUAUCAGAGCCGAUAAGGUUCUUGAAAUGGGUUAAUAACAGGUCAGUCAUGCCCUUAGAUGUUCUGGGCCGCACGCGCGUUACAAUGGCACGAAUAAAAAGUGCCUACAAAAGGGCGUAUCCGGGGCCUAACGGUCUCGGUAACCCCUAGUCCCUGCCUUGACUGGGACAGACUCUUGCAAUUAUUGGUCUCAAACGAGGAAUUUUUAGUAGUCGCAGGUCAUUAGCCUGCGACGA